AGCGGCAACAGCUCAAAUUUGAAAUCUGGCUCUUUUAGAGUCCGAGUUGUAAUUUGCAGAGGGCGCUUUGGCUUUGGCAGCGGUCCAAGUUCCUUGGAACAGGACGUCACAGAGGGUGAGAAUCCCGUACGUGGUCGCUGGCUAUUGCCGUGUAAAGCCCCUUCGACGAGUCGAGUUGUUUGGGAAUGCAGCUCUAAAUGGGAGGUACAUUUCUUCUAAAGCUAAAUAUUGGCCAGAGACCGAUAGCGCACAAGUAGAGUGAUCGAAAGAUGAAAAGCACUUUGGAAAGAGAGUCAAACAGCACGUGAAAUUGUUGAAAGGGAAGCGCUUGCAGCCAGACUUGCUUACAGUUGCUCAUCCGGGUUUCUACCCGGUGCACUCUUCUGUAGGCAGGCCAGCAUCAGUUUGGGCGGUAGGAUAAAGGUCUCUGUCACGUACCUCCUUUCGGGGAGGCCUUAUAGGGGAGACGACAUACUACCAGCCUGGACUGAGGUCCGCGCAUCUGCUAGGAUGCUGGCGUAAUGGCUGUAAGCGGCCCGUCU
rnacentral:rRNA from 1 species